AAAAAAUGAGACUUCCUUCAUGGUUAGCCACCUGCUCCACCACCUCAACCACCGCCAUUUUAUUCUCCGAUGAACAAACCACGUCUCCCAAACAUCUAGUUUCCGACACUAGUAGCUCCUCUGAUACUCCUGGCAGCGCCUUCUCAUCGUCAACAACUAGCGACGCCAGCAAUGUUAGCCUCCAGAGCUACCUCUCUCUCCAGACUCUUCCCUCCGUCCCUUCCCUUCAAAAGCUCACACCCGAAACUCUAAACGUUUCCAUCUCUUUUCUUUGUUCAAACUCUCUUCAUCCUCGCCCAAAGCUUCCAAUCACGUGCCUCGCCAUCCACGGCAAUCUCCUUUACUCUGCUUCCUCUCAUGAAAUCAAUG
rnacentral:misc_RNA from 1 species